rnacentral:rRNA from 1 species
UUUUGCCGGAUGUAGACUCUAGAGUGCCUGAGGAGCAACGACUUGGUUAGUGAGUUCAUAAUUCCAAGUCAAUCAGUCUUCUCUUGAACUAGGUCUUAAUCUUUACGGACUAGCGAGAGGAUCUAACUUG